GUCGGGGUGGCUCAGCUUGGUUAGAGCGCCUGACUCAUAAUCAGGAGGUCGCGGGCUCAAAUCCCGCCCCCGACA
rnacentral:tRNA from 1 species